rnacentral:rRNA from 1 species
UGGGGAAUAUUGGACAAUGGGCGAAAGCCUGAUCCAGCCAUGCCGCGUGUGUGAAGAAGGUCUUCGGAUUGUAAAGCACUUUAAUUUGGGAGGAAGGGCAGUAAGCGAAUACCUUGCUGUUUUGACGUUACCGACAGAAUAAGCACCGGCUAACUCUGUGCCAGCAGCCGCGGUAAUACAGAGGGUGCAAGCGUUAAUCGGAAUUACUGGGCGUAAAGCGCGCGUAGGUGGUUCGUUAAGUUGAAUGUGAAAGCCCCGAGCUCAACCUGGGAACUGCAACCAACACGGGCGAGCUAGCGUAGGGCAGAGUGUGGUCGAAUUUCCUGUGUAGCGGUGAAAUGCGUAGAUAUAGGAAGGAACACCAGUGGCGAAGGCGACCACCUGGGCUCAAACUGACACUGAGGUGCGAAAGCGUGGGGAGCAAACAGG